UAAUAAUUCUAGGGUUUCCAUUCCCUUCCCAAUUCACUUAUCGUCCCCAUGAUCGAUUGAAGCAGGUGAAAAUUAGGUUUGCUCACCAAUUUCAGACGUGAAACUUCCCAUAUCAAAGUCACCCCAAUAUUGGUGCUCAACCUACUGUUUAUCGACCUUGAUUGGGUUCGAUUUUCAUGAACAUGCGAAGAUGGGCAGCUUAGCUGAUUACAACAUUGGUGCUGCAGAAAUAUACUACAGGAAGGUGAAAAUUCGAUUGAUGGUGGUAUUAUGUUUGGUUAAGAACUUCAAAAGAUACCAUAAAAUAGCCUGCUAGUUUAUAAGGAUCAGAGUAGCUUAUGCUGGCAACAGGUGAUAGACUUUUUGAUGAAAUAUAAAACGCAGGGGAAACAAUGCUAGUAACAUGAUACGAUUGCUAAGAAAGCGUAUACCUGUGCAGCUCAACAAUAAGUUCCAGGCUAUAUAAAUACUUACUCUUUGCUGAGUAUAUUCUUACUCUUUGCUAUUUUAAAGUGGAAUUUGCUUAAGUCAUUUCUGGUAUAGUUGGGAAAUUGAACAAUGGGAAGUCAUAUAUUUCAAAACCGUUGUGGAGGUGAUGAUCGUAUUCGAGGGUGGAGGUGGAAUACAAUCUUUAGUUCAAGUUCUCCAGUUCAUGCCGAAGAAACUGAUUUGAUGCAUGUGCUUAACUUUGAACCCUCAGCAUAAAUCACAACUGGUUCAGAGGAUGGGAGCAUGCGAGUCAAGGAUUGCAGAAACGGAAAAUGUAUUAACGUCACAGAUCAAGAGAAACAAAUGAAGUCAAAGGAAGAUUUCUCAUGGGUUAGGUUCAUUGGUCUGGAUUCAAGUGAAAGUUGGCUGGUGGUAGGAGUUUAUCAAUCUGGAAUUUUCCUGCCUCUGAGUGCCAUUUCGAAGAUUGAAACUUGCUCUCCUAGGCAAGAUUUGGUGUCUGAUGACAAUUAAGUAAUUUCUCAUUCUUAGGAAUCGUUGAGAAGAUUCGAGCUGUUAUUGAAGUUGGUAGAAAUGACAAAAUUCGAGCUUUUAUUGAAGUUGGUGCCUGCCGCCGGCUUGUUGAGCUAUUGCUUCACCCAUCUCUUAAUGUUCCUAUUCCUGCCCUCCACACGGUUGUUACUGGAAAUGAUUGUCAGACCGUGGUAUGAAUGAAAAGCUAAAUACCGCCACGUGUGUCCAAUACGGUAAAUCCAAAAAACCAUGAUACGACGACACAUCAGUAUACAUUAAUAUUGGCAAUGGUUUGUCAACAUGAUUCCAUACUAUGGAAUAUCUAAGUUUUCUGCCACUUUGUUAUCUUACUUACCAGUUUUGGUUGCAAAAUCUGAUGAGUGCAUAUGUCUCUCUUCAUAUUAUAUUGAAACUCAAGCUCCUAGAUGAAUUGUUCACUAGUAUAGAACCCAAUGAGUGU